rnacentral:rRNA from 1 species
AUUGAACGCUGGCGGCAUGCCUUACACAUGCAAGUCGAACGGCAGCACGGGAGCUUGCUCCUGGUGGCGAGUGGCGAACGGGUGAGUAAUACAUCGGAACGUACCCUGAAGUGGGGGAUAACGUAGCGAAAGUUACGCUAAUACCGCAUAUUCUGUGAGCAGGAAAGAGGGGGAUCGCAAGACCUCUUGCUUUAGGAGCGGCCGAUGUCGGAUUAGCUAGUUGGUGAGGUAAAGGCUCACCAAGGUGACGAUCCGUAGCGGGUCUGAGAGGAUGAUCCGCCACACUGACACUGAAUAACGGGUCAGACUCCUACGGGAGGCAGCAGUCGGGAAUUUUGGGCAAUGGGCGAAAGCCUGACCCAGCAACGCCGCGUGAAGGAUGAAGUCUCUCGGGAUGUAAACUUCGUAAGAAUAGGAAGAAUAAAUGACGGUACUAUUUGUAAGGUCCGGCUAACUACGUGCCAGCAGCCGCGGUAAU